CGCCAGCCCGCUCAGAAACUUAAAUGAAUUGACGGGGCCCGCACAAGCGGUGAGCAUGUGGUUUAAUUCGAUGAUACGCGAGGAACCUUACCUGGGCUCAAAUGUAUGUUGACGUAUUCUGAAAGGGAUACUUCUUCGGACAAUAUACAAGGUGCUGCAUGGUUGUCGUCAGCUCGUGCCGUGAGGUGUCGGGUUAAGUCCCAUAACGAGCGCAACCCCUAUCAUUAGUUGCCAUCAGGUCAAGCUGGGGACUCUAAUGAAACUGCCUACGCAAGUAGUGAGGAAGGUGGGGAUGACGUCAAAUCAGCACGGCCCUUACGUCCAGGGCGACACACGUGUUACAAUGGGUGGUACAAAGGGCAGCUACCUGGCGACAGGAUGCUAAUCUCCAAAACCACUCUCAGUUCGGAUCGGAGUCUGCAACUCGACUCCGUGAAGCUGGAUUCGCUAGUAAUCGCGCAUCAGCCACGGCGCGGUGAAUACGUUCCCGGGCCUU
rnacentral:rRNA from 1 species